CAUCAUUGGGUGCAUUUCUCAAACCCUAACGCUUCGCUUCAUUUGUUCUGCGCAGCCAGGGUUUUAGCGAAGCUCUCUCGUCUUUCUUUUCGUCUUCUAAAGUUUCAAAGGAAUCAUGGGUAAAGAGAAGGUUCAUAUCAACAUUGUGGUCAUUGGCCACGUCGACUCUGGAAAGUCGACCACCACUGGUCACUUGAUCUACAAGCUUGGUGGUAUUGACAAGCGUGUUAUUGAGAGGUUUGAGAAGGAAGCUGCUGAGAUGAACAAGAGGUCAUUCAAGUAUGCCUGGGUGCUUGACAAGCUUAAGGCUGAACGCGAGCGUGGUAUCACCAUUGAUAUUGCCUUGUGGAAGUUUGAGACCACUAAGUACUACUGCACUGUGAUUGAUGCCCCCGGACACAGGGACUUUAUCAAGAACAUGAUCACUGGUACUUCCCAGGCUGAUUGUGCUGUUCUUAUUAUUGACUCAACCACUGGUGGUUUUGAAGCUGGUAUUUCCAAGGAUGGUCAGACCCGUGAGCACGCAUUGCUUGCUUUCACUCUUGGUGUCAAGCAAAUGAUUUGCUGCUGCAACAAGAUGGAUGCUACCACACCCAAGUACUCCAAGNGCUAGGUAUGAUGAAAUCGUGAGAGUUCUCACUCAGAGUGUACACCUGACAGAUUCCAUUUGUCCCCAUCUCUGGGUUUUCAGGGGGGACAAUAUGAUUGAGAGGUCUACCAACCUUGACUGGUACAAGGGGCCAACCCUCCUUGAGGCUCUUGACCAGAUUAAUGAGCCCAAGAGGCCCACAGACAAACCCCUACGUCUUCCACUUCAGGACGUUUACAAGAUUGGUGGUAUUGGUACCGUCCCUGUUGGUCGUGUUGAAACUGGUGUCCUCAAGCCUGGCAUGCUUGUGACCUUUGGGCCUACUGGUCUGACAACUGAAGUCAAGUCUGUAGAGAUGCACCACGAAGCUCUCCAGGAGGCACUCCCUGGUGACAAUGUCGGGUUCAAUGUUAAGAAUGUUGCUGUUAAGGAUCUCAAGCGUGGUUAUGUUGCCUCAAACUCCAAGGAUGACCCAGCCAAAGGGGCUGCCAGUUUCACCUCCCAGGUCAUCAUCAUGAACCAUCCUGGUCAGAUCGGAAAUGGAUAUGCACCAGUUCUCGACUGCCACACUUCCCACAUUGCUGUCAAGUUUGCUGAGAUCUUGACCAAGAUUGACAGACGUUCUGGUAAGGAACUUGAGAAGGAACCUAAGUUCUUGAAGAAUGGUGAUGCUGGUAUGGUUAAGAUGAUGCCGACCAAGCCUAUGGUUGUUGAGACCUUCGCUGAGUACCCACCAUUGGGUCGUUUUGCUGUGAGGGACAUGCGUCAGACUGUUGCUGUUGGUGUCAUCAAGAGUGUUGACAAGAAGGACCCAACUGGCGCCAAGGUCACCAAAGCUGCUCAGAAGAAGAAGUGAGGUUGUGGUUUUGAUGGGAUUCAGCUUGGAUGAACUAGUUUUGUUUAUUUGCAUCAGUUUUUUCCAAUUUUGUUUUGGACAUUUAACCAGUGCUGGAUGUGGCUCCGGAAGCUAUUGUCAUGGUUCUCUAGCCUCUUUUGAGGAUAGUGGAGUAAUUGAGCAAUUUGGUCCAGAGCCAAAUUGCUUGAUGGGCAAUGAUAAUAGCUCUUUGGUGGUUAUUUCUUUGCCUUGGUUUUAUAUCACAUUUUAUGAUGAGCUUUAGUCGGUGAAUUACUGAAGUUGUUUAACUUAGUGAAUUUUGAGCAGCUUUUCUUCGUAUUAUGUGGUGAUUGUUUCCCUCUUUGAGGUCUGCAAGAAUUGAGGUGUUGAUUCAUCUGAAGGGGCAAUCUCUUAUUACCGUGGUGAUGUGCCCUGCUUUACUCUGAAGGAGUAGAACUAGUGUGAUCUUUAAGCUUUACAAGAUCAGAAUUCAUCUUGGGUGAUAUGAA